UAAUGAGACUGCCGGUGACAAACCGGAGGAAGGUGGGGAGUGACGUCAAGUCCUCAUGGCCCUUAUGAGUAGGGCUUCACACGUCAUACAAUGGUCGGUACAGAGGGUUGCCAAGCCGCGAGGUGGAGCCAAAUCCCUUAAAGCCGAUCGUAGUCCGGAUCGUAGUCUGCAACUCGACUACGUGAAGUCGGAAUCGCUAGUAAUCGCAGAUCAGCAUGCUGCGGUGAAUACGUUCCCGGGUCUU
rnacentral:rRNA from 1 species